CCUACGGGUGGCAGCAGUGGGGAAUAUUGGACAAUGGGGGGAACCCUGAUCCAGCCAUGCCGCGUGUGUGAAGAAGGCCCUCGGGUUGUAAAGCACUUUCAGUGAGGAAGAACGCCUGGUGGUUAAUACCCAUCAGGAAAGACAUCACUCACAGAAGAAGCACCGACUAACUCCGUGCCAGCAGCCGCGGUAAUACGGAGGGUGCGAGCGUUAAUCGGAAUUACUGGGCGUAAAGCGCGCGUAGGUGGCUUGAUAAGCCGGUUGUGAAAGCCCCGGGCUCAACCUGGGAACGGCAUCCGGAACUGUCAAGCUAGAGUGCAGGAGAGGAAGGUAGAAUUCCCGGUGUAGCGGUGAAAUGCGUAGAGAUCGGGAGGAAUACCAGUGGCGAAGGCGGCCUUCUGGACUGACACUGACACUGAGGUGCGAAAGCGUGGGUAGCAAACAGGAUUAGAUACCCGAGUAGUC
rnacentral:rRNA from 1 species